rnacentral:lncRNA from 1 species
GUACUAACAGGCGCGAUCAUACCAGCACUAAUGCACCGGAUCCCAUCAGAACUCUGCAGUUAAGCGUGCUUGGGCGAGAGUAGUACUAGGAUGGGUGACCUCCCGGGAAGUCCUCGUGUUGCACUCCUUUUUUGUUCCUCUUGAUUCUUUUGUUUUUUUUUUUUAGGUCUUUUCAUUUGAAAUACAAGGCAUCUUUCGAACGACGCCAUUUCGAGAUCGUGUGGAACCACGCCUCCUAAAGCAACUUUUCGGAAAGCACCAAGUGUGCUCUCUGGCGUGUCCAAGGGUCUAAAGACCAUGGGUGCGCUUUACAAUGCCAAAAUUUUGAGUUUUAGACCCUCUUCCGGGCCCUUUUCUAAAACAUAAGCCCCGGUUUAAGUGUCGUCAAACGUGGUGUCCUAACUUAUAUAUCUUGGCAUGAAUGCUCGUCUCAGCUGGGCGGGAAAAGCCAUAUAAACAGUGCAACACAUGCGGAGAGAUUUCAUCGCGGACUCAAAGCCAAAGGAUAUAUGCUAUUGCGAUACAUAUACUAACGGAAAGCCCCAAGUGUGCUCUCUGGCGUGUCCAAGGGUCUAAAGCCCAUGGGUGCGGUUUACAAGGCCAAAAUUUUGAGUUUUAGACCCUCUUCCGGGCCCUUUUCUAAAACAUAAGCCCGGGUUUAAGUGUCGUCAAACGUGGUGUCCUAACUUAUAUAUCUUGGCAUGAAUGCUUGUCGCAGCUGGGCGGAAAAGCCAUAUAAACAGUGCAACACAUGAGAAGAGAUUCAUUGCGGACUCAAAGGCAAAGGAUAUGUGCUAUUGCGAUACAUAUACUAUCGGGUGCAAUCAUACCAGCACUAAUGCACCGGAUCCCAUCAGAACUCCGCAGUUAAGCGUGCUUGGGCGAGAGUAAUACUAGGAUGGGUGGCCUCCCGGGAAGUCCUCGUGUUUCACCCCUUUUUUGUUUCUCUUGAUUCUUUUUUUUUUUUAGGUCUUUUCAUUUGAAAUACAAGGCAUCUUUCGAACGACGCCAUUUCGAGAUCGUGUGGAACAACGCCUCCUACAGCAACUUUUAGGAAAGCCCCAAGUGUGCUCUCUAGCGUGACCAUGGGUGCAGUUUACAAGGCCAAAAUUUUGAAUUUUAGACCCUCUUCCGGGCCCUUUUCUAAAACAUAAGCCCCGGUUUAAGUGUCGUCAAACGUGGUGUCCUAACUUAUAUAUCUUGGCAUGAAUGCUCGUCUCAGCUGGGCGGGAAAAGCCAAAUAAACAGUGCAACACAUGCGAAGAGAUUUCAUCGCGGACUCAAAGCCAAAGGAUAUAUGCUAUUGCGAUACAUAUACUAAUGGGUGCGAUCAUACCAGCACUAAUGCUCCGAAUCCCAUCAGAACUCCACAGUAAAGCGUGCUUGGGCGAGAGUUGUACUAAGAUGGGUGACCUCCUUAGAAGUCCUCGUCUUGCACCACUUUUUUGUUCCUUUUGAUUCUUUGUUUUUUUUUGGGUCUUUUCAUUUGAAAAACAAGGCACCUUCCGAACGACGCCAUUUCUAGACCGUGUGGAACCAUGCCUCCUACAGCAACUUUUCGGAAAGCCCCAAGUGUGCUCUCUGACGUGUCCAAGGGUCUAAAGACCAUGGGUGUGGUUUACAAGGCCAAAAUUUUGAGUUUUAGAGCCUCUUCUGGGCCCUUUUCUAAAACAUAAGCCCCUGUUUAAGUGUCGUCAAACGUGGUGUCCUAAAUUAUAUAUCUUGGUAUGAAUGCUGGUCGCGGCUGGGCGGGAAAAGCCAUAUAAACAGUGCAACACAUGCGAAGAGAUUUCAUUGCGGACUCAAAACCAAAGGAUAUAUGCUAUUGCGAUACAUGUACUAACAGGCGCGAUCAUACCAGCACUAAUGCACCGGAUCCCAUCAGAAUUCUGCAGUUAAGCGUGCUUGGGCGAGAGUAGUACUAGGAUGGGUGACCUCCCGGGAAGUCCUCGUGUUGCACUCCUCUUUUGUUCCUCUUGAUUCUUUUGUUUUUUUUUUUAGGUCUUUUCAUUUGAAAUACAAGGCAUCUUUCGAACGACGCCAUUUCGAGAUCGUGUGGAACCACGCCUCCUAAAGCAACUUUUCGGAAAGCACCAAGUGUGCUCUCUGGCGUGUCCAAGGAUCUAAAGACCAUGGGUGCGGUUUACAAUGCCAAAAUUUUGAGUUUUAGACCCUCUUCCGGGCCCUUUUCUAAAACAUAAGACCCGGUUUAAGUGUCGUCAAACGUGGUGUCCUAACUUAUACAUCUUGGCAUGAAUGCUCGUCUCAGCUGGGCGGGAAAAGCCAUAUAAACAGUGCAACACAUGCGGAGAGAUUUCAUCGCGGACUCAAAGCCAAAGGAUAUAUGCUAUUGCGAUACAUAUACUAACGGAAAGCCCCAAGUGUGCUCUCUGGCGUGUCCAAGGGUCUAAAGCCCAUGGGUGCGGUUUACAAGGCCAAAAUUUUGAGUUUUAGACCCUCUUCCGGGCCCUUUUCUAAAACAUAAGCCCGGGUUUAAGUGUCGUCAAACGUGGUGUCCUAACUUAUAUAUCUUGGCAUGAAUGCUUGUCGCAGCUGGGCGGAAAAGCCAUAUAAACAGUGCAACACAUGAGAAGAGAUUCAUUGCGGACUCAAAGGCAAAGGAUAUGUGCUAUUGCGAUACAUAUACUAUCGG